AAAUUGAAGAGUUUGAUCAUGGCUCAGAUUGAACGCUGGCGGCAGGCCUAACACAUGCAAGUCGAACGGUAGCACAGAGAGCUUGCUCUCGGGUGACGAGUGGCGGACGGGUGAGUAAUGUCUGGGAAACUGCCUGAUGGAGGGGGAUAACUACUGGAAACGGUGGCUAAUACCGCAUAACGUCGCAAGACCAAAGAGGGGGACCUUCGGGCCUCUUGCCAUCAGAUGUGCCCAGAUGGGAUUAGCUUGUUGGUGAGGUAACGGCUCACCAAGGCGACGAUCCCUAGCUGGUCUGAGAGGAUGACCAGCCACACUGGAACUGAGACACGGUCCAGACUCCUACGGGAGGCAGCAGUGGGGAAUAUUGCACAAUGGGCGCAAGCCUGAUGCAGCCAUGCCGCGUGUAUGAAGAAGGCCUUCGGGUUGUAAAGUACUUUCAGCGGGGAGGAAGGUGUUGUGGUUAAUAACCACAGCAAUUGACGUUACCCGCAGAAGAAGCACCGGCUAACUCCGUGCCAGCAGCCGCGGUAAUACGGAGGGUGCAAGCGUUAAUCGGAAUUACUGGGCGUAAAGCGCACGCAGGCGGUCUGUCAAGUCGGAUGUGAAAUCCCCGGGCUCAACCUGGGAACUGCAUUCGAAACUGGCAGGCUUGAGUCUUGUAGAGGGGGGUAGAAUUCCAGGUGUAGCGGUGAAAUGCGUAGAGAUCUGGAGGAAUACCGGUGGCGAAGGCGGCCCCCUGGACAAAGACUGACGCUCAGGUGCGAAAGCGUGGGGAGCAAACAGGAUUAGAUACCCUGGUAGUCCACGCCGUAAACGAUGUCUACUUGGAGGUUGUGCCCUUGAGGCGUGGCUUCCGGAGCUAACGCGUUAAGUAGACCGCCUGGGGAGUACGGCCGCAAGGUUAAAACUCAAAUGAAUUGACGGGGGCCCGCACAAGCGGUGGAGCAUGUGGUUUAAUUCGAUGCAACGCGAAGAACCUUACCUGGUCUUGACAUCCACAGAACUUUCCAGAGAUGGAUUGGUGCCUUCGGGAACUGUGAGACAGGUGCUGCAUGGCUGUCGUCAGCUCGUGUUGUGAAAUGUUGGGUUAAGUCCCGCAACGAGCGCAACCCUUAUCCUUUGUUGCCAGCGGUCCGGCCGGGAACUCAAAGGAGACUGCCAGUGAUAAACUGGAGGAAGGUGGGGAUGACGUCAAGUCAUCAUGGCCCUUACGACCAGGGCUACACACGUGCUACAAUGGCGCAUACAAAGAGAAGCGACCUCGCGAGAGCAAGCGGACCUCAUAAAGUGCGUCGUAGUCCGGAUUGGAGUCUGCAACUCGACUCCAUGAAGUCGGAAUCGCUAGUAAUCGUGGAUCAGAAUGCCACGGUGAAUACGUUCCCGGGCCUUGUACACACCGCCCGUCACACCAUGGGAGUGGGUUGCAAAAGAAGUAGGUAGCUUAACCUUCGGGAGGGCGCUUACCACUUUGUGAUUCAUGACUGGGGUGAAGUCGUAACAAGGUAACCGUAGGGGAACCUGCGGUUGGAUCACCUCCUUACCUUAAAGAAG
rnacentral:rRNA from 1 species